GGCGGGGUGUGCGGCGCAGGUGGCGGGGUGCCGGGUGCCGGGUGCGGCGCAGGCGACGCCUCGGUCCCCUGCCCGCGGGCCCCGCCCCGUUUCACACGCUCCGUGGGCGGGACCCUCCUCCUCGCCGCGCUACUGGCCAGACGCGGAUGAGCGGCAAGAGCCCGAACCAAUGAAGGCAAAGGGGCGUGGCCGCGCGCCGGGCUCGGCCUCCACGGCCCCCGAGCGAUUUUGAUUGGCAGGUGGCUUGGGGCCCCGCUCCCCGGCGUCUCCCUUUAGGCUCCGGGCGGAGAAAGCCCGCUCGCCGCGCCUCCCUCCGCACUCCCCGCCCACUUCCG